UACGGAGGGUGCGAGCGUUGUCCGGAAUCACUGGGCGUAAAGGGCGCGUAGGUGGCGCGGGCAGUCAACGGUGAAAGUUCGGGGCUCAACCCUGAAUCGGCCGUCGAUACUCCCGUGCUUGAGCACUGUAGAGGCAGAUGGAAUUCCGGGUGUAGCGGUGGAAUGCGUAGAGAUCCGGAAGAACACCGGUGGCGAAGGCGGUCUGGCUGGGCAGUAGCUGACACUGAGGCGCGACAGCGUGGGGAGCAAACAGG
rnacentral:rRNA from 1 species